UCGUACACCUAUGUUUGGUCUACCAAUGUUUGCCUUAUUCAGUUCAUAUAAAGCAACUGUUAUAGCUAAAGAUGGCCCUGGUGCGCCCUCGCCAGUCUCGUCCCUCUAUUUUGAUUGAUGCAUUGCACAUAGUUUGUGAGUUUCAACUGUUAUAGCUAAAGAUGGCCCUACAACCUGUACAACCUGGAAACCUCACCAACUAGGUACAAUCAACUCAAAGCGAAGAAUAACCUGUUUAAAUUCAUUUUCAAAUAUUGAUCUUUGAUGCUAUCUUUUACUUUACACAUUCUUAUAUGGUGUGGGAUGUGGAUCGGGGAGAAGGAGGUUGCAGAGAUAUUUUUCUUUCCCUUUCUCUGCAAUAUAAAGGUUCAUCUCUUUUAAGAGAAGGCGGUGAUUAAUUAUAAGGAUGAAAACAAAAAAGAAGAACCCAAAUUCUUUACCCAUAUUUGCAUUUUAAGUUUUGUAUCCCAGAAUUUCUAAUCUCUGAAAUUUCUUCCUGCCUUUUCCAUUUCCAAUGGUGCCGAUUAUGCUCCAGCCUCUUACUGCCUAAAUCAUAGAGCAAUUUUACUGCACCUUUUUGUAUCAAACUAGAGCAUCAUAUUUCUUUGUCUGGAAAAACAAACUCUGAUAAUGGUUGCUGAUGUGUAUUUGCAGAUCUGAUAAAACAGGACCACUCCUGGGAGAAGUGUUGAAAAAACUAUUACAAGGACACAGGUAUACAAGCUUAAAUAUAAUUCGGAGAAACUUCCAUUUGAUUGUCCUGAAAGUGUGGGCUCACAUGUUAACCAAUUCUAAAUGCAGGGAUUUUACAAUGCAAGCAUAGUUAUGUUAUACUUUCUUCAAAUUCCUGAAGUGAAAGUGUUAGAGAUGCUUAGAAUGAUUUGCUUUGGCAGGUCAAAAGGCUUGGUGCAUAUGGGACACUAAAUGACACAUCAAUAAUAGAAAAAUUCUUUCAUUGUGUAGGCUUUGGAGUUCCUUCCCUUGGCUCUUAGUAAGACCAUAGCUUAAAAAUUCGAGUCCAACCUAAAAGAUGAUGUUCAUAAGAUUUUUUUUCUUCUUGAUUGUUGGUAGCUUUGUUCAGUGUAUUAGUAAGUCCAUGUUGUUAUUUGUAGCAAUAUUUGAUUAAUUUUGAUAUUUAGAUGUUGGAGUAAAUGGAGAUCACUUUAUUCUUUGUUGUAUUCCAAUAGUUGAUGAAUUUUGAUGUAGCUUUUUAGUUGGCUGACAAAGUCUUAGAAUUGACUUACGAGAGCUGGGGAGAAAUUUUCGGUUGAUCAGCUAGUUGAAGUUGAUUCGGCCAAAAAGUGGAAUUCUCAACCAUGUCUGUCACGUGGCAUGACAUCUUCUAUGGAGCUGUCAACUCUCGAAAUAAAGAACGCAGAGAACCUUACAAUCCCAAG